GUGUCUGCAGGAUGUCGACACCUAGUGUGCUUCCCCGAUAAGACGCUAUGGUGUAAUUUGAGGGAAAUGUGGCUGCUGUUUCUCGCAGGUCCAGUGACAACAUAGAGGUUCUUUCAUUGGUUCGAGAUUAAAAAGCAGAAUUCUGUUACCAGGUUUCGUUUCUCGAUUUUUAGCGUUUUAUUUCAAUUUCUACUCGCAUCAUUCGUGCUUUUGAAGAAGAAAGCAUGAAUGACACAGCCUCUUCGUUAACUAUUCAGUAAAUAAAGUCAUCGUGUAUUUGUAUACAAAACUGAAAAUCAUUUACCAGUUAUUAAAUACGUGUUAAAUAUUGUUUAGCGUGAAACUAGCAUCGAAAGAAGGCUCCGAGGACAUUCGUUAUGUGUGAUGUUUGUGUUGACCGAGGGUCGUGGACAAUGUAGCUGAAAUGAAUUAUCAAACCAGGAAUCGAAACCACUCUAGAGACUCAAAUCAUACUGGGGUCUACCUUUAUUCUACGCCGUUCGUUUAGAUGUUGCUAAGCUGAAAAAUCACCACCUGAUUUUGCAGAAACUAAAAUCAAAGGCGUUUGAGCAUCUUAUUUUCAAACAAAACGUAUUUUGAGUACACUAUAUUAUCUAACGCGGCUGUUUUCUGUUGUUAUUCUUUAAGAUGAUGGGAGAGGAUUUGAGGGAGACUUAGUUGAUAUAUCAAACAGGUCAAGUAACCAAAUAAAGGCACACUAUCUUUGUUAUUGCUGUAGGCUAGCAUCAGGUCAACCCUGAAGCAGACCAAUGGUGAAAAGCUUUCCAGCCAUGAGCAUCCCAUUUCUCUUAAGAUUGCUGUUACCUGUCUUAGUGGACAUGUGAUAAGAAUGAGACAAGAAACAAAUCACAAGACAGAUUCUUCAAGCCAAUUGAUCCGAUCAGCAGGAGACCAAGGAGUAGACCAAGAACAAGAUAACUGGAUAAUAUCUAUAGUCUCAGCUAGUCACUCUUUGGGAAUCCAGCCAGAAAGUCCAAUGACAGACAUUUCUGAUAGGACCUUAUGAAGGAGGUGCCUGGGGAAUUUAGAUCCCCCUCCAUGACCCUCCCAGAAAUAAUGAGCGGGGAAAAUGGAUGGAUGGAUGGAUAGAAAUUUGCUCUUAGUCUGAUAAAAAAAAACAAAAAAAAAACAUUAGCCAUGGUAACCUCUUAAUGAUUCUCUGAUAUAUCAACAGACAAUAAUGGUAAACAACAGAAUGGCUGUUUAAUGGGUAAUUUGAACAUUUUUUUCCUUUUGGCCUUGUGCCUCCACAAGAAGCAGAGAUAAUAUUGUGUUUCUAUUAUAUUUUUCUCUCCUUCUGUUCUACUUACAUUCUAGAAAUCUGCUCCCUGUGGUCAAAAAUUUAUAAGGAAAACGUAAUAAAACUUUGUUUCAUUAAA